rnacentral:pre_miRNA from 1 species
CGCCCAGAAAUACUUGUCAUUAAAAUGAAUAAAAGGGGAUGUAUCUAGAUGUAUUUUAGUUCUAGAUACAUCUCUUUUUGUCAAUUUUGAUGACAAGUAUUUUCGGACG